AGAUAAUAUAUUAGAGGAGGAUAGGAAUGGCUGAAGGCCACCUGUGUGGCCAACAUACCACGCAUGAAUAGGGUAGGGGGGGGGGGGAGGUCUGGGGGCAUACUCCCCCAGAAAUGUUUUGAAAAUUGAAGCCUGGAAAUGCCAUUUCCUGCAUUCUGAGCAUUUAAAUUUGCUCUAAAAUUUAUGCUAAGUAUACUUGUAUUUAAAAUAAAAGAAGGAAAAAAUGCACAAAAAAUAAAAAAAAUAUUAACAAUAAUUUAUCAUUACUUAGUGGUAGAAAAACGUAACAAUUUAAAUCGAUUUUGUUGAACAAGGACAAAGCCAAUAAGCGCAGAAGCCCUGGGUACGAGGUUGGGACAAAGCCUAAAAUUUACUUUUCGUUUGUCUAUUUGUUAUUUUUUGCUGGUUUGUUUGUAUAAAUUUAG